UUAGGCAUUCAUCGGCUUUGG
ensembl:piRNA 21ur-5211 ncRNA